CCGCGCCGGCUGGGACUAGGGAUGAUGGGGUGUUCCGGCGCCUGGAAGCCGAACGAGCGGAGUUCCACGAAGCGGUGGGAAGGAGACCAAGGAAGACCCCAAGAACACCACCACAGAAGAGGUGUGCAGAGGAGAGGCGCUGCAGAGGAGGCGGACACAGCUGGAAGGGACAGGAUUUAUGUUGCAUACUUGAACUACAGUGAGUGUAAGACUGGUCCUAUUUACAGGGCAGAAACACUACAGGUGGAGCGUGAGGGAUGGCAGAGCAAGCACCAGAGUCCUGGCCAGAGGGUGCCCCUGCUUGCCGCCUUCCCCACCUUUCCCAGAGGCAUCUCUGCGGCCCCGCUGGGGUUCUCCCGGGGGGAACGGGGCCUGCUCACAUGAUGCUCGCCGGGGUGAAGACAGGGCCCAUGCACAAGGUGUCUGUGAUCUCCCAGCCACAGGACAGCGGCUUGCACAUGCCCUCGGCGUCCUCGUCCUGUUCUGCAGGCAGCAGCUGCCCUCUCAGGGCUUCCCUGCAAACAAGAGGGGGCACUGGAAGCAGCCAGCACAAGGUCUGCAUUUCAGGGACUCCUGAUGGCCCUCUAGCGGAAGACUCAGGGCCACCGGGGCCAGGACCUGAGGGAGGUGGCAGGGAGAGGCCUGCUAAGCCCUCUUCCCCCCUGCUCCCUUCUCCUGGUCGUCUAGCCCACAAGGAGAAGGAACCCACAUUCACUGAUAUGCCCAUUAUUGUGCCAGGCACUUUACUUAAAAUACCUAAUUGUAUGUCCCCAAACCCUGUAAGGGUGACAUUAUCAUCUCUGUUUACUAUGAGGAAAUUGAGACUUGGGAGUUACCUGCCCAAGGUCAUAUCCCCAGAAUGUGGUAGAACUAGGAUUCAACCCAGCGCUCAUUUCAAAGCCCACAUUCUUCAGACCCGAAGCUUAGGACUCAAAAAUCAUCUGCCCCCCUCAAAAGCCCUGCAAGCUGUUUCCCCUGCACAUCCGUGUAAAUAAAUGGCUCCUGCUCCAGCCCCAGGCUGGGGAUCUCGUUCCUACCCCCAUUGGUCCCUCCUGAGCCCACCUCCAGAGCAUCCUCACAGGUGUCCACUUCUCUCCAUUCCCAGUGACACCACCGUCUCUAUCCAAGAACGCACAGUCUCCCUAAUCUGCUCUUGCCCCCUCCAGACAAUUCUGACCCAGGUCCAUCUUUUCUAAAAGUAAAUCCCUGCUCUUGAGUUGCCAGCAGUUUCCCUCCACUCUCAGGCCCCCCAAGAUCUGUUCCCUGCCAGUCUCUCCCACCAUGGGCAGUGGUGCCACCUGGUUGCCAUCCAUAGCAGCUGUCUUUUGGGCUCUCGUGCAUCCCAUCCCAGGCCUCUGCACAUGCUUGUACCUCUCCCCACAUCACCGUCCCUUUGCUGAGUCCCACAGCACCAGCACUCCUUGAUAACAAUAGGGUUUAGUGUCUGCUUCCCCAACAUUCCUUCAGCUAUAGCAGGGCAGGGAACGUAUCUGAGUUACUCACUGCCUAGUGCCCCCAACAGCAGGCUGGCACAUGGUGAACGCUUACUGGUGGAGGGGUGGACGCUGCGUGUGAGGACAGGGAAGGAGCCCUGGGCUGUAUCAAGAGGCCUGAGGGGAGGGAGGGUGGCAUGACAGCCUGUCCUUUACUUCUGCUUAGAUCUGCUUCCCCACAAGAACCUCCCUCUUCCAUCUAUAUCCUCCUUUCAUACUUCCAGCCUAUUCCAGUCCCCCCCUGCAGGAAGGCCUCCCUCUUUGCUGAUGUGUGCAAUUCAGCAGCAAAUCAGUAGUCAGUAUCUUUGCACAGAAUCUGGUCAGGCCAUUCCCUUCCAGGUGGGAGGCUCUCUGAGACAAGCAUCCUCUAUCUGAGCCUCUUGUCUCCUCAUCUUGCAAAAUGGGUUUUGAAAGAUAAGUUUCUUAAAACCUCUCACUAGCUCCCUGCUGCCUUCAAGAUCAAGCCCAACCAGGGCCUCCAAGGUCCUUCUUCAUCCAGUCUUCCCCACAUGCCACUCUAGCCAGACAGAGCUACUUAAAAUUCUGUGGAUGAACUGGACUCUGAAGCCCCUACACCUCUCGGCCACGACCUCCCUCCUGUCAUCUUGCCUGGCCCUCCUGUGCCUGCCUAACUCCUCCUUACCCAUCAGGCAAUGCCUCCUGAGAAGCAGCCCUCACCACCCUCCCCAGCCUGCUGUCCCUCUUUCCCUAGUGACCUUUGCCCUCUCUAUGCUGUGUGCAGGUGUGCAUACUUUGGCUCACCACAUUCUUAGAGGCUCUUUUCCCCCCAGGACCCAGCACAGAGCCACACUGUAAAGCAGGACAUUUCAAUGAGGCCCCUUUGAUAUAGGGAAUUUCUUUGACAUGGCCAUUUAAAUACAUCAGAGGGGGAGGGUAUAGCUCAGGUGGUAGAGUGCAUGCUCAGCAUGCACAAGGUCCUGGGUUCAAUCCCUAGUACCUCCAUUAAAAAAAUUAUUGGAUAAAUAGACCUAAUAGACCUAAUUACCUCCCCUCCCUCAAAAAAAAAAAAACUAAAAAAAAAAGAAAUUUUAAAAAUUAAAAAAUAUAUAAA